UGCGCUGGCUCUGCUCUCCCGCCCUCAUGCGCUGCUGAAUGAGACCAGCGCCGGAAUAUGACGUCAUAUUCCGGCGCCGGUCUCAUUCAGCAGCGCGCGAGGGCGGGAGAGCAGAGCCAGCACA